rnacentral:sRNA from 1 species
GCCAGGUGCAGUGGUGGGCGCCUGUAAUCCCAGCUACUUGGGAGGCUGAGGCAGGAGAAUUGCUUGAACCCAGGAGGCGAAAGUUGCAGUGAGCUGAGAUCAUGCCAUUGCACUCUAGCCUGGGCGACAGAGCAAGACUCUGCCUCAA